UACGAAGGGGGCUAGCGUUGCUCGGAAUCACUGGGCGUAAAGCGCACGUAGGCGGCUUUUUAAGUCAGAGGUGAAAUCCUGGAGCUCAACUCCAGAACUGCCUUUGAUACUGGAGAGCGUGAGUCCGGGAGAGGUGAGUGGAACUGCGAGUGUAGAGGUGAAAUUCGUAGAUAGUUCGCAAGAACACCAGUGGCGAAGGCGGAGCAUCACCUGGCCCGGCUAGUCG
rnacentral:rRNA from 1 species